rnacentral:rRNA from 1 species
CAAUUCGCCCUUCGGGGUGCAGCAGGCGCGAAAACUUUGCAAUAAGCGAAAGCUUGACAGGGCUAUCCCGAGUGCCAUCCGCUGAGGAAGGCUUUUACCCAGUCUAGAACGCUGGGGGAAUAAGGAGAGGGCAAGUCUGGUGUCAGCCGCCGCGGUAAUACCAGCUCUCCGAGUGGUGUGGAUGUUUAUUGGGCCUAAAGCAUCCGUAGCUGGCUAAGUUAGUCCCCUGUUAAAUCCACCGAAUUAAUCGUUGGAUUGCGGGGGAUACUGCUUGGCUAGGGGACGAGAGAGGCAGACGGUAUUUCCGGGGUAGGGGUGAAAUCCUAUAAUCCCGGGAAGACCACCAGUGGCGAAGGCUGUCGGCUAGAACGCGCCCGACGGUGAGGGAUGAAAGCUAGGGGAGCGAACCGGAUUAGAUACCCGGGUAGUCCCAGCUGUAAACGAUGCAGACUAGGUGUUUGAACGGCCACGUGCCGUUCUAGUGCCGCAGGGAAGCUGUUAAGUCUGCCGCCUGGGGAGUACGAUCGCAAGAUUGAAACUUAAAGGAAUUGGCGGGGGAGCAC